AGAGUUUGAUCCUGGCUCAGGACGAACGCUGGCGGCGCGCCUAACACAUGCAAGUCGAACGAGCGAGAGAGAGCUUGCUUUCUCGAGCGAGUGGCGAACGGGUGAGUAACGCGUGAGGAACCUGCCUCAAAGAGGGGGACAACAGUUGGAAACGACUGCUAAUACCGCAUAAGCCCACGGUGCCGCAUGGCACAGAGGGAAAAGGAGCAAUCCGCUUUGAGAUGGCCUCGCGUCCGAUUAGCUAGUUGGUGAGGUAACGGCCCACCAAGGCGACGAUCGGUAGCCGGACUGAGAGGUUGAACGGCCACAUUGGGACUGAGACACGGCCCAGACUCCUACGGGAGGCAGCAGUGGGGAAUAUUGCACAAUGGGGGAAACCCUGAUGCAGCGACGCCGCGUGGAGGAAGAAGGUCUUCGGAUUGUAAACUCCUGUUGUUGGGGAAGAUAAUGACGGUACCCAACAAGGAAGUGACGGCUAACUACGUGCCAGCAGCCGCGGUAAAACGUAGGUCACAAGCGUUGUCCGGAAUUACUGGGCGUAAAGGAGCGCAGGCGGGAAGACAAGUUGGAAGUGAAAUCUAUGGGCUCAACCCAUAAACAGCUUUCAAAACUGUUUUUCUUGAGUAGUGCAGAGGUAGGCGGAAUUCCCGGUGUAGCGGUGGAAUGCGUAGAUAUCGGGAGGAACACCAGUGGCGAAGGCGGCCUACUGGGCACCAACUGACGCUGAGGCUCGAAAGUGUGGGUAGCAAACAGGAUUAGAUACCCUGGUAGUCCACACCGUAAACGAUGAUUACUAGGUGUUGGAGGAUUGACCCCUUCAGUGCCGCAGUUAACACAAUAAGUAAUCCACCUGGGGAGUACGACCGCAAGGUUGAAACUCAAAGGAAUUGACGGGGGCCCGCACAAGCAGUGGAGUAUGUGGUUUAAUUCGACGCAACGCGAAGAACCUUACCAAGUCUUGACAUCCCUUGACAGGCAUAGAAAUAUGUUUUCUCUUCGGAGCAAGGAGACAGGUGGUGCAUGGUUGUCGUCAGCUCGUGUCGUGAGAUGUUGGGUUAAGUCCCGCAACGAGCGCAACCCUUAUGGUUAGUUACUACGCAAGAGGACUCUGGCCAGACUGCCGUUGACAAAACGGAGGAAGGUGGGGAUGACGUCAAAUCAUCAUGCCCUUUAUGACUUGGGCUACACACGUACUACAAUGGCGUUAAACAAAGAGAAGCGAGACCGCGAGGUGGAGCAAAACUCAGAAACAACGUCCCAGUUCGGACUGC
rnacentral:rRNA from 1 species